rnacentral:lncRNA from 1 species
UGUGUGGAACUCAUGAUCAGAGAAUCCUGAUUCUCAAUCACAGAGUCCCAGACAUGUAGAACUCAGAGUCCUCGAGCAUUAAGACUCUUGGUCGAAGAGUCCCAGUCCAGUGGGACUCUUCACCAGCCAUCAGAUCAGAUAGGAAUCUCUAAUAUGUGUGAUCCCGUAGGUUCGAACUUAAGCCGAUAGCAUAGGAAUCAAUUCCUGUACUACUCAAAGUGACCAUCUAGUAAUGGUAUCUGACAUCCGGAU